UUCAUCCUCCUGGGCAAAACCUGCCUCCGUUAUAGUGGCUUUUCCAAAGGGUUGUAACUUUUCAAUUAACCGUUGGCAUCAUUUAAAAUUUUUAACCGAAUCCUUUUUAUAAAAGCCUCGCAUACCAUUGUCCUCAAACAAUUUCUGCUAUCCUUCUUAAACUCAUAUGCUAUUUUCCUAUCCUUAAACUGUUAUACACAAUAAUAUACCUCCACAAAUCCAAAGCCUUUGCGGCAAGGAAUUUGUUUUCAAGCUACGAUUAAACAAUUACAAUCUUAAAGAGGGGCUUAAAAAUUAUACGGUAUUCAUGUUGUUCAUUCCAGAUGAGAAUCUGGAAUUGCAAUACACAACAAGGACAGAACAAAAGGGGAAAAAGAAAGUUGAGGAUAACAUUGCAACAAAACGUUUUGUUGAAGGAAAGGAAUCUACUAAUGUCUCUUUGGAGGACUUUGAAGGCUCUCCUGAAGAUCCACAUGUCAAUGACGGUGUUAACUGUAGGAAGAGAAGAACUUUAUUAAGAAAGAUUAGAAAGAGAAAAAACCUAAUCAUACAUGACGAUGAAGUUAUCGA